rnacentral:misc_RNA from 1 species
GAUGAAGAACGCAGCGAAAUGCGAUAAGUAAUGUGAAUUGCAGAAUUCAGUGAAUCAUCGAGUCUUUGAACGCACAUUGCGCCCGCCAGUAUUCUGGCGGGCAUGCCUGUCUGAGCGUCAUUUCAACCCUCAGCCCCCGCUCGCGGGGCGCUGGCGUUGGGGAUCGGCCGUCCUCGCGGCGGCCGGCCCCGAAACACAGUGGCGGUCUCUCGCGGACUCCCCUGCGUAGUAGCACUACCUCGCAGAAGGGACGAGCGGGCUGACCACGCCGUAAAACCCCCCACUUCUCCAGGUUGACCUCAGAUCAGGUAGGAAUACCCGCUGAACUUAAGCAUAUCAAUAAGCGGAGGA